UAACUUUCACACAGGAUAGCAGUUUACCCCAAGCUUAGAAAAUCUACUAAGAACAAUUAAAACUUAACAUAUAAACCAGGGGGUGGCUAUUUUUCUCUGACAAGAGAAAUUACUAGGUUAUGAUUUAUCAUUGGGCUCCUUUAAUCGAACAUUCUCAAAGGGGCCAGUUCUGCCCUCUAGGGAACAACUUGGAUGUCACAAUAAUUGAAGCAGUGUUACUGAUAUUUGGUGAGGAUUAGUUGGCGGUGCCUGACUGUCUCAAUACCCAACCGUGGUACACAAAUACUGAUCUCUCAGCCUGCACAAUUCCUGAAUGCCAGGAAGAGGGGAUUAGGGCAUGGACGACUGACACCAGCCGGGUACAUGCAUAGUGACACGAGCAUGAGAAGACACAGAGAGAAGACAGAGAUCUGCAAGCCAAGAGGAGAGGCCUCAGAAGAAGCCAUACCUCCAAGUCCUUGGUGUGCCACUCGCACCCUCUGAACUGAGGCAGUGGGAGUGGCCCUUGGAGACUCUCAAGGCUGCCUGCUGAAAGGUAGGCUCCCCUGAGCUCCCACUCUGCCUGUCUCUGUGUCUGUCUCCAUUUGGGGGCACUGAACAACAGGGCAAGAAGAAUGUCCUGUGCUAAAGCUGCCAUGUGUGUAGGGGGUAUUUUGCAGAGAGACAGCCUAGGGGUAGAGAGAUGUCCACGGAGUGCCAGCUUUUCCACCUACCUGCGAGUGUUCCAACCUCCUCAGGGACCGGCACUGUGAAUGGACAAAGCUUCAAGAGGACCUCUGAGUGCAACUGUGUUGAGACCCCAAGGGAGGCCUGCCUGGUGGAGCCCUGUGAACCCUGCAACCAUGAUAGCUAACACACGGAGUGGCCAAUUUAUGACGCCUCUGUUUGGGGUGAUUUGUGGUAUAGUCACAGAGAAUAUAAGCAAGCUCUGUUCUAAAGUAAGACACACUGACAUUUGCAAAGCUCUUUCUUCAAGGGAAAUAAACA